rnacentral:tRNA from 1 species
CAGAGUAUAGCUAAAAUAGUAUAGCAUUUCCCUUACACUGAAAAGUCAUCCGUGCGAGCCGGAUUACCCUGAC